rnacentral:rRNA from 1 species
UACGAAGGGGGCUAGCGUUGCUCGGAAUGACUGGGCGUAAAGGGCGCGUAGGCGGUUCGUACAGUCAGACGUGAAAUUCCCGGGCUCAACCUGGGGGCUGCGUUUGAUACGUGCGGACUUGAGUUCGGAAGAGGGUCGUGGAAUUCCCAGUGUAGAGGUGAAAUUCGUAGAUAUUGGGAAGAACACCGGUGGCGAAGGCGGCGACCUGGUCCGAUACUGACGCUGAGGCGCGAAAGCGUGGGGAGCAAACAGG